GCCACACGGUCAUCUCUGAGGCGUCGCGGUGUGAGUGGGCAGCCCCCGGCCGGCGCUGAACAGCCGCACUGUUUAUGUGAAGGAUCCGAGUGCCUGAGAAUUCAUCCCAGAUCUGCAGCUUCUCAAUGGAGACAAAGACUCUCAGAGCAGACGCGGCGCACCGGGCUGAGCCGAACAUCGGGGAAUCUGCUCCAUUACCUGCACCAGGAGAACUUCACAGAUUUCAUUGCAGCAAACAAUUACGGCAUUGUAGUGUGAACAACGGCAAUGUGGAAUGUGACGGUCUCAUCCCCAUACCAUCCCCUCUCAGACUCUUUCCUCUAUGGUCCCUUUCUAUACUGACACGACGCGUUUCACCAUAAGUUACUACUGCAAGGGAACCAUGAGGCGUC